rnacentral:rRNA from 1 species
GAUGAACGCUGGCGGCGUGCUUAACACAUGCAAGUCGAACGGAAAGGCCAGUGCUUGCACUGGUACUCGAGUGGCGAACGGGUGAGUAACACGUGGGUGAUCUGCCCUGCACUUCGGGAUAAGCCUGGGAAACUGGGUCUAAUACCGGAUAGGACAAUGGUUUGGAUGCCGUUGUGGAAAGUUUUUUCGGUGUGGGAUGAGCUCGCGGCCUAUCAGCUUGUUGGUGGGGUAAUGGCCUACCAAGGCGUCGACGGGUAGCCGGCCUGGGAGGGUGUACGGACACAUUGGGACAGAGAGACGGCCCAGAGUCCUACGGGAGGCAGCAGUGGGGAAUAUUGCACAAUGGGCGCAAGCCUGAUGCAGCGACGCCGCGUGGGGGAUGACGGCCUUCGGGUUGUAAACUCCUUUCGCUAGGGACGAAGCGUAUUUGUGACGGUACCUGGAGAAGAAGCACCGGCUAACUACGUG